UACGUAGGUGACCAGCGUUGUCCGGAUUUACUGGGCGUAAAGAGCGCGCAGGCGGUCGUUCAAGUCGAGUGUGAAAGCCCCCGGCUCAACUGGGGAGGGUCACUCGAUACUGAUCGACUUGAAGGCAGGAGAGGGAAGCGGAAUUCCCGGUGUAGUGGUGAAAUGCGUAGAUAUCGGGAGGAACACCAGUGGCGAAGGCGGCUUCCUGGCCUGUUCUUGACGCUGAGGCGCGAAAGCUAGGGGAGCAAACAGGGA
rnacentral:rRNA from 1 species